AGAACGAACGCUGGCGGCAGGCUUAACACAUGCAAGUCGAACGGUUGUAGCAAUACAGCAGUGGCAGACGGGUGAGUAACACGUGGGAACCUUCCUAGGGGUACGGAACAACUCAGGGAAACUUGAGCUAAUACCGUAUACGUCCGUGAGGAGAAAGAUUUAUCGCCCCUAGACGGGCCCGCGUAGGAUUAGGUAGUUGGUGAGGUAACGGCUCACCAAGCCUACGAUCCUUAGCUGAUCUGAGAGGAUGAUCAGCCACACUGGGACUGAGACACGGCCCAGACUCCUACGGGAGGCAGCAGUGGGGAAUCUUGGACAAUGGGCGCAAGCCUGAUCCAGCCAUGCCGCGUGAGUGAAGAAGGCCUGGUUGUAAGACU
rnacentral:rRNA from 1 species